rnacentral:rRNA from 1 species
UACGUAGGUGGCAAGCGUUGUCCGGAAUUAUUGGGCGUAAAGCGCGCGCAGGCGGUCCUUUAAGUCUGAUGUGAAAGCCCACGGCUCAACCGUGGAGGGUCAUUGGAAACUGGGGGACUUGAGUGCAGGAGAGAAGAGUGGAAUUCCACGUAGUAGCGGUGAAAUGCGUAGAGAUGUGGAGGAACACCAGUGGCGAAGGCGACUCUUUGGCCUGUAAACUGACGCGAGGCGCGAAAGC